AAAGGAGAAUGUUUUGUGGACCAUUUGGUUCUUUUGUGUGUGUGGCAGUUUUUAAGUUAUUAGUUUUUAAAAUCAGUACUUUUUAAUGGAAACAACAUAACCAAAAAUCUGUCACAGAAUUUUGAGACCCAUUAAAAUAACAAAGUUUAAUGAGAAACUU